GAUGAACGCUGGCGGCAUGCCUAACACAUGCAAGUCGAACGGUAAGGCUCUUCGGAGUACACGAGAUGCGGACGGCUGAGUAACGCGUAGGAACACACCCUGCAGUGAGGGAUAAGACACCGAAAGGUGUUCUAAUACCGCAUACGGUCUUCGGAUUAAAGCAGUUAUGCGCUGAAGGAGUGGCCUGUGUCAUAUUAGAUAGGUGGUGAGGUAAUGGCUCAACUAGUCGAUGAGGUGUAGCUGGUCUGAGAGGAUGCUCAGCCAGGCGGGAACUUAGACACGGUCCAGAAUCCUACGGGAGGCAGCAGUGAGGAAUAUUUCACAAUGAGCGAAAGCUUGAUGGAGCAAUGCCGCGUGCAGGAUGAAGGCCCUUGGGUUGUAAACUGCUUUUAUAAGAGAAGAUUAUGACGGUAACUUAUGAAUAAGGGACGGCUAACUACGUG
rnacentral:rRNA from 1 species